UGCAUCGCGCGCGCGCGUGUGUGUUAUGCUAGGGGAUGUGGGGAGAUAAACUGCAAGAAACAUAUUGCAAUCAACUUUAGAAUUUUUCAUUCUCUGUAAAUUAAUUGAAACUAUUAAUACCUGUUUUGAAGAAAGGCAAAUGCAUUCUGCAGGACAGUCCCAACCUUCUGCAGUGGUCAGUUCCUCUUGUAAGGUAAUUCUUGAACUCAACGUCGCUGUCCACAGCAGGUAAUAAAUGCAGAUCUAAAAUUUCAGAGAAGAAUCAAAUUCAAAGUUUUCGAGUAUCUGUGAGAAGAGUGUCAUCGAUGCGUGAACACUAUUCAUAGCGAAAUCGUUAGCGUUACUUCCCAAUGACAAGAAAACCAUGGAGAACCGAAGAAAGGAUGUAACGAUUCAGAUUUCCGAACAGAAUUUCCGUCCGCUGAUUUUCUUAAACGAAAACGGGAUACAUAUUCGAAAGAAAGAUAUACAUCCGAACGGGGAAUCUGUACCGGAACACCUGAAAGAAUAGAACAGACAAAAGCAGUUUUCGACAUGCAAAUGGCUGAUGCGUCGAAGUUACACCUUACACCGGUAACAUUGGGUAGCAUUGGGUAACAUUGCACACACACGAAAAGAUCUGAUUUGUACCUGCGCUCUGCAAUACAUCAAUCCCGAGGUUUUUAGGGCGCAUGCCUCAGCAUCCAGGAAGACGUCACGAGCGACUGCCGAUGGUCCAGCGUGUCUGGAAAAACGGAUAAUAGCCAGGAAAAAUUCUGUUCCACGCAGCGCAUUCGCAAAUGCAACGACACCACCGUCUUUCUUUCAAUUAGCAAACAGAACACCGUCCACGAGAAACACCGGGCUUACCGAAACAGCAAAGGCGAUUCGCUUGGAUUACCCGAGAACGAACGAGGUAUUCCUUGGUUUCCGGAAGAACGAAACAACCCGAGAGAGAGAAAUUUCGCUAUCCGUGACCGCAUUCACCGGCUGGGCUCCGGGCUUUAUUUCUCCUUAGCCACCCACCUCCACCCCCGACGAGCGAUCUGCGCAAGCCCAUAAUUAUUCUCUCAGUGCGCGUAGCCUGGAAUGAGACUUAUUAGAGGAGCUGAACGAAUUAUAGAAGUAUAGAAUAGAGAAUGACCAGAUGUGCUGGGAUAUGUAUGUAAUAUGUACGCGCGGGAGUUGGUGGGAUUUGACCGCCACGGUCGACCAUGCUGAUACGACUUCUUACGUACAUACAUAUACAUGUAUGUAGGUUCUUCUCUCACCCUGCCCAUUUUUUUAAGUACCUGAUAUGAAAGCAAUAUAUAAUAACACGCACUUGUCCAACUUUAAUUGAAACUGAUUUGAACUACACACGAAAAACUAACAAAUUUGGACGAAAGAACGUUGAAAUAUUAUUUUCUACUCGAGGUUAAAUGAUACUUGUUAAAUUUGUCAUACGACACAAUAGUACAAAUUCAAUCAACGCAA